UGGGGAAUUUUGGACAAUGGGCGAAAGCCUGAUCCAGCAAUGCCGCGUGUGUGAAGAAGGCCUUCGGGUUGUAAAGCACUUUUGUCCGGAAAGAAAUCCUUGGCUCUAAUACAGUCGGGGGGAUGACGGUACCGGAAGAAUAAGCACCGGCUAACUACGUGCCAGCAGCCGCGGUAAUACGUAGGGUGCAAGCGUUAAUCGGAAUUACUGGGCGUAAAGCGUGCGCAGGCGGUUUGCUAAGACCGAUGUGAAAUCCCCGGGCUCAACCUGGGAACUGCAUUGGUGACUGGCAGGCUAGAGUAUGGCAGAGGGGGGUAGAAUUCCACGUGUAGCAGUGAAAUGCGUAGAGAUGUGGAGGAAUACCGAUGGCGAAGGCAGCCCCCUGGGCCAAUACUGACGCUCAUGCACGAAAGCGUGGGGAGCAAACAGGAUUAGAUACCCUGGUAGUCCACGCCCUAAACGAUGUCAACUAGUUGUUGGGGAUUCAUUUCCUUAGUAACGUAGCUAACGCGUGAAGUUGACCGCCUGGGGAGUACGGUCGCAAGAUUAAAACUCAAAGGAAUUGACGGGGUCAUAGCUGUUUCC
rnacentral:rRNA from 1 species